GAGUUUGAUCCUGGCUCAGAUUGAACGCUGGCGGCAUGCCUUACACAUGCAAGUCGAACGGCAGCGCGGGAGCAAUCCUGGCGGCGAGUGGCGAACGGGUGAGUAAUACAUCGGAACGUGCCCAAUCGUGGGGGAUAACGCAGCGAAAGCUGUGCUAAUACCGCAUACGAUCUACGGAUGAAGCAGGGGACCGCAAGGCCUUGCGCGACUGGAGCGGCCGAUGGCAGAUUAGGUAGUUGGUGGGGUAAAGGCUCACCAAGCCGACGAUCUGUAGCUGGUCUGAGAGGACGACCAGCCACACUGGGACUGAGACACGGCCCAGACUCCUACGGGAGGCAGCAGUGGGGAAUUUUGGACAAUGGGCGCAAGCCUGAUCCAGCCAUGCCGCGUGCAGGAUGAAGGCCU
rnacentral:rRNA from 1 species